UUAAUAUAAUAUCUGAGUACACUGUGAAAAGUGACAGUCAGGUUUGUCAUUCAUCUUCAAUGUCCAAUAAAUCACAUAAUUCAAGAUUCAAUAUAAAUAUGAUUCAAGAUUCAAUAUAAAUAUGAUUCAAGAUUCAAUAAACCUAAAUAUGUACCUAACACAUACAUCCAUGAAUCACAGCUGUGUAAUAUUAACCCUGCAUUAGUGUACAUGGCUAAAUUAGCACGAGAGGUGUUCCGAGGUAUGUCAUACCCUAAAUUAGGUUAAAGCUUUUUGUAUCUGUUUUAUAUAUAACUUGAACAUUCACUCCAGAUGUAAGUAUUCAAAAACGAAAAAAAAA
rnacentral:lncRNA from 1 species